CACCAAACUCGUGUUGGAUGGUAAGUUCGUAAAUUCACAUCAACAGUUUGGUCUUUUAUCGUAGUUUCAUAAGGUCUCCUCUCCGUGUAUAUAUAUAUAAUUCGGCCUUCCCGCCCAAUUUAGUCUCAUCUACAUUCCUCCUCUGCUUCUGUUUUGUUUGCUUAGUUGUUCAUAUGAAAAUGCCAGACUUGGGUAAUCUCUCACUCUCUGCAUCUCUUACGCUCACUCGCGGCGCUAAUCUCAAACCAGCCUUCAUCCUUCUGAUCUUUUGUCUUCAGUCAUCUGCAAUGAAUCAGUUAAAUAUAUGCCCAGUGACUCUAUUUGGGACCAGUGGUUUUCAUGUCCGCUCCCCAAUGACGAUGAGGUCGGUGGCAACUAUGGGAUUAGGGUUUCAUGGGCCAGAGGAGAUGCGUUGGACCGAUCUAAAAGGAAUUGCGGUGGGAAGACUUUGGAAGAUCAUGUGAAAUCUUGGGUUCGGAGAAAGCUAGAGUCCGGCGUUCCCCAGUCUCGCUGUUCAUUUCCAUUUCUUGUAGGCUCUCGGAAAAUGGGAAUGAAGCUCUAAAAGACGUUUUUGAAACUGAGCCUAAUGUUUUCGUGCAAGUAUGAUGUUGGAGAAGUUCAUUAUCCUUUGAGAAGUGCUUGGGGAGGAAAUGAUGUAGAUGUUGAGCGUAGAAAUUUAUGUUCGAUUAGCGUAGGAUGAAAAUUAUUGAUCCACUGAAGUUUAUUUUAUCAGAGCCGCUUCAGGUAGAAAAAGAAUGUUUGUGUUGCGGUCGAUAUAUAUUUCCCGGAGAGGAGAUCGAAUGCAGUAUACGUGGUUGUGGAGGAGUUUAUCAUGGUAUAUGUGCAAAGAAAAGCUUGGGGUUCUCAGGUCACAGAACGUUCAAGUGCCCUCCACAUGAGUGCUUUAUAUGCAAACAAAGAUUACAUUGGAAAAGCAUACGGUGUACUCUAGCAUCGCAUGAUAAAUGUGCACCAUGGCCAGAUAAAGUGGUGCAUUUAAAAAAUCAACCUGGAACAGCCAUAUGCUGGAGGCAUCCAUCCGACUGGCAUGUGGACUUAAAGGUCGAUUUCUUCUUUCCUUUACCUCCAACUGUAUUUACUAUAUCAUGUGCAAUGCCUUAAAUGAAUAUAACACCUUCCGAUUUGAGAGUGCUAGAUGUUCUUCAGAUGAAUGCCCGUGCCCAAGGUAAUAGCUUCUUGUGGUCGCUUUCAAUUGUGAAAUGAAAUGAUCACCUUUUUCUUUUGAAGUAAAACACUUCCUCUAUUGUAGCAUGCCUAGAGGGAUGAAUACGUUUGUUCUUGGCAAAAUCCAUGUAAAAUAAUGGUUGCGUGAGGGAUUUAUUGUCUUGUGUUGUUUUAUUUGGCAAUGAAGAUAUUAGCAUUGUGACACUGUAUGUCAUUCAGGCGUAUAAUGUUUUUUUCCCUUGAAAAAUGAAGAUACCUUGUUUUAAUGCUUAUUUAUCUAGAUAGUUUUCUUGUCUUUGACCACUUUCUCUGUUUUUUAAUUCUUUCUUUCUUUCUUUCUUUCUUUCUAGUUGAAGUUUUACUUCUACAUCUGUAUCUUUAUUCUUUAGGCUGGCUGACAGGACUAUUGUAUUUGUUCAAUGGGCAGCAUGCCGUGUCAGUCAGUAAGUGACAUAGAGGCAAGUUGAGGGAGAAACACGUGUUGGUGUCUUUGCUGCUCGAUCAAUCGAGGUUGGAGAGCCAUUAACAUAUGACUACAGAUUUUCUCCCACCGCCGUGUAUCUGGUUCUGCCGCUUGCACUCCCAGCUUUGCAUCUUCAGCAAAUUCCCUCUUCAAAAGACCAUAAACUUCAACCACCAGUUACAAGGAGACGAUCCACGAGAUUGCAGAGAAUGUCUUUGGAAUGCAAAGGGUGGCCUCGAAUGCCUAACAUAUGUCCUCCGAUGGCCAAGAUUUCAACGGCUGUCUGGUCUGAGAAGCCCAUGACUUGAGCUCCAAAAGUUUAUUUUCUGGGUCUCGGCGGAGCUGAAGGUAGCGGCUGCGGCAUAGAUAGGAGGGCUGGAGAUUUGCCUGUUUUGGUUCCAAAAGAAAUGGGUAUGAAGAAGGUAAUGGUGUGCAGUGAAGGUAGAAAUUUGGUGUUGUAUUGGUUCUUUGUCCUUCGUUGAAGAUCAGAUCAUUUGCAGUGGUGAUAUUGGCGGAGACGGCUCAAUCUCUGGUUUUUAUUAAUUCCUCUCUUUUUCACUAAAAAAAUACAUUAUUUGUUAUGUUGAUACAAGGAAUGCAUCUGUAAAUUUUCCCAUGAAAUAUGUUCAAGGGCUGAUUUGGGAUUGUCUUGUUUCUUCUCCUGUCUUUGUAGCGCUACCAAUUAGCUUGUUGCUUUAGUAUAUCAUCAUCUUUUGAAGCAAACCCUUUGAGGGGGAAGCAUCAAGUUAAAGGUGCCUUACUUAAGCAGGCUCUUCUUCAAUGUGUUUCAUUUGAAAAGUAAGAACAUCAUGUCAGAAAUUUGCAUUCUUUUUCUUUC